rnacentral:lncRNA from 1 species
GGUAUGUCCAUGGGGGUAAGUGUGGAGAAUUCUGUGAUACAUGUCCAUACCAAGAACGGCUUGGCCGAAAUAUUUUAAAACGCAAAUAGCUGAUUGAUAGACCAUAACUUAUGAGGUCAAAACUCCCAUUCACAGCUUGGGCCACACGAAAUUUACAUUCACCUAAGUUAAUACGCAUCAGGCCAUUUAGUGAGCAUAGAUAUC